GACGCAGGGUGCGAGCGUUGUCCGGAUUUAUUGGGCGUAAAGAGCUCGUAGGCGGCUCGUCGCGUCGACCGUGAAAACCCGCGGCUUAACUGCGGGCUUGCGGUGGAUACGGGCGGGCUAGAGUUCGGUAGGGGAGACUGGAAUUCCUGGUGUAGCGGUGAAAUGCGCAGAUAUCUGGAGGAACACCGGUGGCGAAGGCGGCAUCCUGGACCGACACUGACGCUGAGGAGCGAAAGCCAGGGGAGCAAACGGG
rnacentral:rRNA from 1 species